CCAUAGUGUUGAUAACACGGUAGGUCAGAUCAGAGUGGUCAUCUCCUCCCCACACUGAGAGCUGACCAUAAAUCACAUUAUAGUGUCUGUGUGGCAUCCACCCACCCUGCCUGCUGCCCAUCAGGGUUAAACCAACACUGCCCUGGGAGGGGGAGGACGGGAGGAGGAGAGGAGGAUGAGGUGAAUGAUGGAGGGAGGCCAGGGUAAAUGUUGCUUUGUCUUCUUCUCUAGUGACAGAUGACAGUGUCUGUGACAUGGAGUGAAGACACGAGAGAGACUAUCACUGUGGACAAGCAGACAAGUGAAGAGGAGAAUACAGCCCAGCACUCUGUGGCUAAACAUAGUAAGUCCCAGUGGCUCUGUUCAUCUGUCUUCCUCUGACAGCAUUGUAAUCAGGGCUAGAAGAUCCAGGCUAGGCCGGGCCCAGACCAGGGCCUCGCCUAGGACCCAGUCCACUGGACAGCUGCCAGCAAUUGGGAGGCGUGGAAGUUGCAUGCUGCUCAGUUGGAUCCUCUCCGGUCCACAUGCUCUUCCUGUCCAGGCCAGGGCCAGAUGAGGAGGUCACAGAUCACUCCUCCGGACAGGAACACCAGAUGACUUUACACAGUGAGAGCUCUAUGCAUGUUAUGUUCUAUGGACUUUAAACUGGGAUUUGUAUGUGCACUUUAGCUAGUAGGAGACGGAUACAGUGUGUUAUAUGUACUGUAUACCUUUAAAACAAAAUGAAUUCCUUUAGACAGCCUACUGUAUACAUUUCUCACUCAUAUUAAAGGAUGUUCAACACACGCACAGUAUGUGUCUUCAGCUGGUCUUAUCUAACUCAUUUUUUCUGACAUAAAAGCUUGCUAAUAAGCUUCCUAAGGGUUCCGCCCCCUGUUGAGGCUAGUUACUCAUGGGCCCAGACCCACUGGCUUAUAGCAGAUCACCAUGC
rnacentral:lncRNA from 1 species